UGUUAUUAUAAAACUCGGCCCACCCAACAAACAAAACUAUUUAUAUUAGCUAUACCCGCCCCCAAACUAACAACCUCCACUAACCGCAAGGGAUCUUAUAACAUCUUCUUAAUCAUGGUAAACCCCUGUACCUUGUGUAUAAUGGGCUUACCACCUUUCACCCUAUCGCCACUUCCCGAAAUCAUGCUGAGCUAAACUAAGGUUGCUUCGCGCCUCCCCAUUAAUGUCGAAAUAUUAAAGGAAAAAUCUUAUUUUAGAUGUAAAACGCCACCCGCAGCUGAUGAUAGCUGGUUCCCUAAUAAUCUUAUCAAAGUAAGACAAUUAACUUAUUUAUGUAAGCUAAAUAAGGCCAAGCUUAUCUAGCCACUAUGUAGAAACCACCACAACCAGACCAAUGAUGCUCCAAAACAGCAAUAUAAAAUUGUAAGUAACACUCUACCUCUCCUUACUUCAACAAAAAUCAAUUUGCUGACUCUCAUUAUACUUCUAAGGGAUCAACUUCAACCCCUCAGUACAAUCUCUAUGUAAGCAUUAGUAUUUUUAACCAUACACCGACACAUACCCUAAACACCUAUUACACUAUACAUACAACACAUAUACGUAAGGAACUCGGCAAACCAAGCGCUGACUGUUUACCAAAAACAUUGCUUCAAGCCUUUCUAUUUGAAGUAUAUCCUGCCCAGUGAAGAAAUUUAAACGGCUGCGGGAAACCGUGCAAAGGUAGCAUAAUCCAAUGCCCCUUAAUUGAGGGCCAGUAUCAACGGAUGAACAAGUGCUUAACUGUCUCACCUAUAAGCAUAAAAAUUAGUAUAAAAGUGAAAAAACUUUUAUCCCCUGGAAGGACAAGAAGACCCUAUAGAACUUUGCCAAAAACUUAACUACGCCAUAUCAAUUCAAUAGCCAAACCUAUAUAAGCCCUAGGCUCAGUUGGGGAAACUAAGGAAUACUCAAAGCUUCCUUCUAUUAAAAAGACCAUAAAUCCUACUUAAAUUGACCCACCACCGGUGAUCAAGAGAUCAAGUUACCUUAGGGAUAACAGCGUAAUUCUUUUCCAGAGACCCUAUCCAAAAAAGAGUUUGCGACCUCGAUGUUGCCUUAGGAUACCCAAAAGGCGCAGCAGCUUUAAAUGGUUGGUCUGUUAGCCCAUCAAAAUCCCUACAUGAGGUGAGUUCAGAUCGACGUAAGUCAGAUCGGAUUCUAUCCCCCACAAACCUAAACGAUUGUACGAAAGGACCUUGUUUAGAAAUAAAAUUUUUACCCAUUAGAGCCCCAAUAAUACAACCUCUUUUCCUUAACCAUU
rnacentral:rRNA from 1 species